rnacentral:misc_RNA from 1 species
AUACUUGUUUAAGAAUACUGAUUCAUCUUUAAAGACGCUAAUAAUUUGCUUCUUCCACAAGUGCAAUGGAUUAAGUCAAACAAAUAAGUUUUUAGUUUGUCUAAGUUUUUAGUCAAACGAAUUUCAUUCACCUUGGUGCCUCCUUACAGGAAUUGAUCAUGUUUUUCACUGAAGGUGGAGUUUAAUUUGUUACAUAGAUUACCACAUAAUUAUGUCAGUCCUUCAAGUAGAUGGGUGA